rnacentral:rRNA from 1 species
GGUUAAGCGACUAAGCGUACACGGUGGAUGCCCUGGCAGUCAGAGGCGAUGAAGGACGUGCUAAUCUGCGAUAAGCGUCGGUAAGGUGAUAUGAACCGUUAUAACCGGCGAUUUCCGAAUGGGGAAACCCAGUGUGAUUCGUCACACUAUCAUUAACUGAAUCCAUAGGUUAAUGAGGCGAACCGGGGGAACUGAAACAUCUAAGUACCCCGAGGAAAAGAAAUCAACCGAGAUUCCCCCAGUAGCGGCGAGCGAACGGGGAGCAGCCCAGAGCCUGAAUCAGUGUGUGUGUUAGUGGAAGCGUCUGGAAAGGCGCGCGAUACAGGGUGACAGCCCCGUACACAAAAAUGCACAUGCUGUGAGCUCGAUGAGUAGGGCGGGACACGUGGUAUCCUGUCUGAAUAUGGGGGGACCAUCCUCCAAGGCUAAAUACUCCUGACUGACCGAUAGUGAACCAGUACCGUGAGG